AGUGAACGCUGGCGGUAGGCCUAACACAUGCAAGUCGAACGGCAGCACAGUAAGAGCUUGCUCUUACGGGUGGCGAGUGGCGGACGGGUGAGGAAUACAUCGGAAUCUACUUUUUCGUGGGGGAUAACGUAGGGAAACUUACGCUAAUACCGCAUACGACCUACGGGUGAAAGCAGGGGAUCUUCGGACCUUGCGCGAUUGAAUGAGCCGACGUCGGAUUAGCUAGUUGGCGGGGUAAAGGCCCACCAAGGCGACGAUCCGUAGCUGGUCUGAGAGGAUGAUCAGCCACACUGGAACUGAGACACGGUCCGGACUCCUACGGGAGGCAGCAGUGGGGAAUAUUGGACAAUGGGCGCAAGCCUGAUCCAGCCAUACCGCGUGGGUGAAGAAGGCCUUCGGGUUGUAAAGCCCUUUUGUUGGGAAAGAAAAGCAGCAGGUUAAUACCCCGCUGUUCUGACGGUACCCAAAGAAUAAGCACCGGCUAACUUCGUG
rnacentral:rRNA from 1 species